rnacentral:lncRNA from 1 species
AUAUCACUUUAAAACAAAUGCACUUAAGCUAAAAGUCUUUGAAAACCUUAUGGCCAAGUUUAGUUAGUUUAAGAUGAAAAAAUGGUGUGCCUAAGGGUGUGGGGGUUAUGGCCAAGUUUAAGAACGAAAGUAAUAUGCCAGAAAUGGAAGGAAACAAGCAAUAUUAGAUAAAAAAAAUAUGAAAAAAAGAAAUAAUUAUAAGAUAGAAUGUUGAUUUUCUUGUUAGGUGAACACAUCCAUAUAUGGAUGGCUAAGUUGAAGAAUCUCUUCGAACUUUUGUUGUUAUUCUAAGAAAGCAAAAGGAUAAGAGAUCUCUCAGAAAAACUCCACUGAGCAAAAACUAU